UGCAGUACCGGCAUCAAAUUAUACGUGCAAAACAGUACAGCGUUACUUCUUGGGGCAUGUGAAUAAAUGUGUGAGCUUUGAUCACAAAUAAAUACGAAAAUGACUACCAUUCCCCUACACUGUGCACCGGCAAAACGCAAAGUCGUUUCAGAUUUGUGUUUAACCGCCACCUCAGGUCCGAGGCUCUCCGAUCCUAUGCCGCCCCUCACCGAAUGUAAUUCCAGCGAGACGCCGAGGCGCCUGGUUGCCACUAGGCCCAGCGUCGGGUCAUUUCGGCAGUGACUUCAUCGCCGUGUGUCCGGCUGAAAGCGUGUGCCUGUGAACGGGGGAAGCAGCUGGACGGUCAAUGACAGGAAAGAAGCCAGCGAAGGGGUGGGAACGAUUUCAACACAUCCUCCAGGGGGAAUGAUCAGAAGGUGCAACACUAUCCGAAAAGCAUGGCUUUGCAAAGAGAUUACAUAGCACCAGACAUCAGGUUUUAAAAUGCAUUUUCUACUAUGACGUGUUUCUUUCAAAACUCCACAACUGGGACCAAAAUAAGCAACAGAGGUGCUUAACAGGUUAGAGUAAUGGAAUUAUUUUGCAGCAGCCUCCAACGCACAGUAUCAGAAUCACACAACAGCAGCACCCAGCGUAGUUGCAACGUUUCUUGACCCAAUGCAGAAGUUUCAUUCCAACAUGUUCUUCAAUAGGGUUGUUUUAUCUAUGGUGUACUGUUCAUGAAUCACUCUGUAUAUCCCUAGAUAGUGGCGCUUAUAAAUAAUAUCUCCUUUGUGUCACUGCAUGUAGAAUUGUACCAUGUUACGUUCCUGUGCUAUAAUUUAUAAU